AUGAACGCUGGCGGCGUGCCUAAUACAUGCAAGUCGAGCGAACGGACGAGAAGCUUGCUUCUCUGAUGUUAGCGGCGGACGGGUGAGUAACACGUGGAUAACCUACCUAUAAGACUGGGAUAACUUCGGAAAACCGGAGCUAAUACCGGAUAAUAUUUUGAACCGCAUGGUUCCAAAGUGAAAGACGGUCUUGCUGUCACUUAUAGAUGGAUCCGCGCUGCAUUAGCUAGUUGGUAAGGUAACGGCUUACCAAGGCAACGAUGCAUAGCCGACCUGAGAGGGUGAUCGGCCACCCUGGAACUGAGACACGGUCCAGACUCCUACGGGAGGCAGCAGUAGGGAAUCUUACGCAAUGGGCGAAAGCCUGACGGAGCAACGCCGCGUGAGUGAUGAAGGUCUUCGGAUCGUAAAACUCUGUUAUUAGGGAAGAACAUAUGUGUAAGUAACUGUGCACAUCUUGACGGUACCUAAUCAGAAAGCCACGGCUAACUACGUG
rnacentral:rRNA from 1 species